AUUAAAGGCCACACCAGCUUGUCGAAGCCUGAUCUUGUCAAAUCUCAGAAGUUAAGCAAGAUUGGGCCUGGUUAGUACUUGGGAGACCGCUGGGAACACCAGGUGCCACAGUG
rnacentral:rRNA from 1 species